rnacentral:tRNA from 1 species
UCCCUUAUGGCUCAGCUGGUAAAGCAUCUGCCUGCAAUGCAGGGUACCUGGGUUCAAUCCCUGGGUUGAGAA